rnacentral:rRNA from 1 species
GAUGAACGCUGGCGGCGUGCUUAACACAUGCAAGUCGAACGGUGAAGCAGAGCUUGCUCUGUGGAUCAGUGGCGAACGGGUGAGUAACACGUGAGCAACCUGCCCCGGACUCUGGGAUAAGCGCUGGAAACGGCGUCUAAUACCGGAUACGAGAUUCCACCGCAUGGUGAGUUUCUGGAAAGAUUUUUUGGUCUGGGAUGGGCGCACGGCCUAUCAGCUUGUUGGUGAGGUAAUGGCUCACCAAGGCGUCGACGGGUAGCCGGCCUGCGAGGGUGACCGGCCACACUGGGACUGAGACACGGCCCAGACUCCUACGGGAGGCAGCAGUGGGGAAUAUUGCACAAUGGGCGGAAGCCUGAUGCAGCAACGCCGCGUGAGGGAUGACGGCCUUCGGGUUGUAAACCUCUUUUAGCAGGGAAGAAGCGAAAGUGACGGUACCUGCAGAAAAAGCGCCGGCUAACUACGUGCCAGCAGCCGCAGUAAUAC